CUCGCUCUCUCUCUCUCUCUCGCUCUCUCUCUCUCUCUCUCUCUCUCUCUCUCUCUCUCUCUUUCUCUCUCUCUCUCUUUCAUCCUGGGUUAAGCGACGUCACUGUGAGCUGCUGUGAACGCUCAGGGGACCCUGUAGCCUACAUCACACUGCAAGAAGUGUAACAGUCUGCCUUGUGCCUUGCCCGGAGGAAGCGUUGGUUCUUGAAGCCUGGAGGAAGCCAGACAAUGGUGGGAUGUGGGUGUCAAGUCCGCCUUAAGUGUGCCGGGUGCUGAUUGUGCUGCUGUGUCAACCCCGUGUUGUGCUCCAAACUGAUGGGGGCAGAAAAACAGGAAGCUGCCCUUCCCAUACACUGUAGGCAGCGGGGCAGGCAGCCGUCAGGUCAACAGUCUGUUGUCACUGACUGCAAAGGCGCCAGUGCCCUCUGAUCGACAGUAAAAGCAAACAUCCCUUGUUAUGUACUUUAUCAUUACUGGAAUAAACCUUCACGCUGAUGA